rnacentral:sRNA from 1 species
GCCACAUGAGUGCAGGUGGCCUCAAAAAUCAGAAGAGAACGACGUGCCCCUCUACUGCAGUCACAGGUAGUUAUGAGCUGUUCAGUAUGUGUGCUGGGAACCCAAUAAGGUCUUCUAGAAGAAAAGUAUGUCCUCUUGACUGCUGAGCCAUUUCUCUAGUCCUGGGUUGUUUUUAAUAAGCUUAUUUCUAAUAUUUAAUAAAGUUACCAAAUAUUUCAUUAGCUUUUAUGGAAAGAGGUGUGAUUUCACAAAAAGUUGGGCUGUGGGAACAUCACAAAUUCAAAUGUAAAAUGAGCACAGACACGGGGCAAGUUUCACACUUUUUCAAGCAUAACAUUUUUUUGGUUGGAAAUUUUGCAUAAUGCACCCAGAUCAUAUUCACUUUCCUAAUUCUCCUAGAUCUGCCCCCAAUCCAUGUGACCCCCUCCCAAAAAGGAAGAAAGAAAAACAACAAAACAGAACAAACCGUAAGUUCAGUUUGUGUUUAUAUACUCACUGAAGCAUAGGAAACUCCCAGUGGCCAUCCCCUUUAGGAAAACUGAGUACCUUCCCACCCACCCUCACCACCAUCAGAAGCCCUCAGUCGAGGGGAGCUCUACGUUAGCAUCUAUCAUAUUUUUUAUGAGUUCUCUUCAAUGGCUUUCUGGCUAGGCCACUUCUUUGGUCAGGAGAGGUGGGAGAGGGUAAGGGUUGUCAUGGAAGCUUUCUAUGACCCUGAACUGAUGUCACAUUUCUGGGAAAAAAAAUUCUACAGCAAUUCUGCUUCUUUGUUGUCAUAGAGAACAAAAACACAUCUGUAUUUAAAAACUGAACAUAGAUACUAUUUGAAAUUAUUCAUCCAAGCAAAAGUAUUUCAGUGUGAAUUGGAGAGGGGCUCAAAAGACUUCACCCCUAGCUGAGGAGUUAUGGGUAAUUGAUCGCUGUUGGGAAAGGGAGAGUCAAUUUUCUUCUACAGAGUAUGGCCUCUGGUAGGUUACCCAUUCUCCAGUGAAUGGCCCCACUGGGUGUUCAUGCAGGAAGCAUGUAGACUCAGUAAGUUAUAAACAAAAAAUAAAAUAAGACAUGAAGGUGGAGGGGGAAUGCUGAGAGGACUGAGGGGGAGAAGGGGAAAGUAGAUAUAAUCAAGAUACAGUGUACACAUACAUGACAUUGUCAGAGAUACAUACAUUGAGAUUUGACAACUAAAUAGUGGUUAAUUUAAUAUUAUUUUGUACAUUGCAGAGUUGGAAUUUUCAAAACUUUAGCUAGGACAUCUAGUUUUAAUUAAGUAGAUAAAAAUCUCACCUGGGACCAUUCUUUUAGUAGCAUUUAAAAAAAGAUCUAUUUUGUUGGAGAGUAUUUAAAACAAGACCCACGUGAAGUAUGAGAAGCCGUGGCAGACACUGCAUCCUUUCUUAGGUCUUCCUUGCUGGGUAAGGAACACCAGUGGACACCAGCUCAGGGCUCACACAGGAUUGCUUGUAGCUAUUCUAGUUGUUCUCAUAUCAUCUUAAAUACAGUUUAUGAAUGUCGUACUAUUCCAUUACACCAUUCAUUCGUCUUCAGAGAUAUUUAUAGUAUCAAUUUAAAAGCUGUAAAACUUCAUGGAAAGUAGCCUAGACCUAAGGCUUCAACAAACAAGCUUGCCAUUGGAAAAGGGGAUCACAGACACUGGACUUCUUAAAACAAGGUAGUGUUUUACCUAUGUAUGUGUCUUUGUAUCACAUGUCUACCUGGUGCCCAUAGAGGCCAAAAGAGGGUAUCGAAUCUUCUAGAACUAGAGUUCUAGACAACCAUGAGCCACCAUCCAGGUGCCAGGAAUUUAACCAACCUCUUCUGAAAGAACAGCCCAUGUUCUUAAUCGCUGAGCCAACUUUCUAGCCCCAGAAUGUCACUAACUUUAAAUGACACUUGAAAUUCGAUAAUCGUUCAUGCACCUGACAAAUACUCCACACUGGCAAAGCUGAAGAGCGAUUCUAGGACCUCUGCUUGCCAACAGAAUCGAGUAGACGUGAGUCUUCACAGAGAAGUCAGACUGCAAGGCUGUCUGCACACGACGGACCGAGAGGCAUGUGCUGUCAAUUUUUGUUUGUAACCUUUAUUAUAGAAUGGAUGCUGUGAAUAGAACGAAUACGUGAUUGAAAACUGCAAAGACAGUGUGUUUGCCUUUAAUAGCAUUCAGAAGAGGACUCUAGUGGAAGCCACGCGGCUCUGUCUUGCAAGAAGAGCAAUAAAGUUUGACAUGUGUCAGGUGUAAUGAAUCAAGUUUGCUUUCUGAAAAAUGAGAGAUUGGAAUCCUUUUGCAAUAUCCUCCUAAGGCAUUUCAAAAGUUGUCUUCUAUUUUCUCACACUAUGAGGACUGCUAUUGUAAAGUCAAAUUUAGGUGAUAUACAGAAGUGAAACGGAAGUACUGGGAUCAACUAGGCUCACUCCUUUUCUUUUAUUUUAGUAUCAUCACCAUCACCACCAUCACCACCACCAGGAUGAUUGUUGCCACUGCUCAUUUUCAUUCCUAUCAAAACAGAUAAGAACACAUAUGCCUGU